GUCACACGUAGGCUUAAAUCUGAUGUUGAAAAGGGACUGCCUUCAAAGAAGGAGAUUAUACUUAAAGUAGGAAUGUCCCAGAUGCAGAAGUAGUACUACCGUGCUUUGCUUCAGAAAGAUUUGGAAGUUGUAAAUGCUGAUGGGGAGCGUAAGCACCUUUUGAACAUUGCCAUGUAGCUGCGUAAGUGUUGUAAUCUCGUAUUUGUUCCAAGGUGCUGAACCUGGUUCACCAUACACUAUAGGAGAUCACCUAAUCACAAAUGCAGGAAAAAUGGUUCUGCUGGAUAAAUUGCUUCCAAAGCUUAAAGAUCGGGGUUCAAGAGUUCUUAUAUUUUCACAGAUGACCAGACUGCUAGAUAUCUUGGAAGACUACCUCAUGUUUCGUGGAUAUAAGUAUUGCCGUAUUGAUGGGAAUACCGGUGAGGAAGAUCGUGAUGCUUCGAUUGAAGCUUUCAAUCAGCCAGGAAGUGAAAUUUAUUUUCUUGCUUUCAACAAGAGCAGGGAGGCUGGAGAUUAACCUUGACACUGCCGAUGUGGUCAUUCUUUAUGACAGUGAUUGGAAUCCGCAAGUUGAUCUGCAAGCCCAAGAUCGUGCACAUAGAAUUGGUUAAAAGAAAGAAGUUCAAGUGUUCCGGUUUUGCACAAAAGAAAGAAGUUCAAGUGUUCUAGUUUUGCACCGAGGUUUAGCUUUACUAAAUGAAAUUUACAACUCUUCUUAUAUUAAUGUGAAAUCUCUUGUAUAUUAGAGACGUGUAUAUAAUAUUGGAUGCUUUUCA